rnacentral:rRNA from 1 species
AAUAGCCUACGGGAGGCAGCAGUGGGGAAUAUUGCACAAUGGGGGAAACCCUGAUGCAGCGACGCCGCGUGAGUGAAGAAGUAUUUCGGUAUGUAAAGCUCUAUCAGCAGGGAAGAAAAAAGACGGUACCUGACUAAGAAGCCCCGGCUAACUACGUGCCAGCAGCCGCGGUAAUACGUAGGGGGCAAGCGUUAUCCGGAUUUACUGGGUGUAAAGGGAGCGUAGACGGUGCGUCAAGUCUGAAGUGAAAGCCCGGGGCUUAACCCCGGGACUGCUUUGGAAACUGGCUCGC